rnacentral:rRNA from 1 species
AGAACGAACGCUGGCGGCAGGCUUAACACAUGCAAGUCGAACGCUCGUAGCAAUACGGGAGUGGCAGACGGGUGAGUAACGCGUGGGAACAUACCCUCCGGUUCGGAAUAACUCAGGGAAACUUGAGCUAAUACCGGAUACGGCUGAGAGGCGAAAGAUUUAUCGCCGGAGGAUUGGCCCGCGUUCGAUUAGCUUGUUGGUGAGGUAACGGCUCACCAAGGCGACGAUCGAUAGCUGGUCUGAGAGGAUGAUCAGCCACAUUGGGACUGAGACACGGCCCAAACUCCUACGGGAGGCAGCAGUGGGGAAUAUUGGACAAUGGGCGCAAGCCUGAUCCAGCCAUGCCGCGUGAGUGAUGAAGGCCCUAGGGUUGUAAAGCUCUUUUGUGCGGGAAGAUAAUGACGGUACCGCAAGAAUAAGCCCCGGCUAACUUCGUGCCAGCAGCCGC